CCGACCCGUCACACCAUGGGAGUUGAUUGCUCCAGAAGUGGCUGAGCUAACCCGCAAGGGGGAGCAGGUCCCCAAGGAGUGGUCGAUGACUGGGGUG
rnacentral:rRNA from 1 species